ACAUGGAUAACCGUGGUAAUUCUAGAGCUAAUACAUGCUGUCAAGCCCGACUUUUUGGAAGGGUUGUAUUUAUUAGACUUAAGCCAAUAUUCCUCACGGUCUAUUGCGGUGAUUCAUAAUAACUGAUCGAAUCUCGUUCUACGAGAUAAAUCAUUCAAGUUUCUGCCCUAUCAGCUUUCGAUGGUAGUGUAUUGGACUACCAUGGCAGUAACGGGUAACGAAGAAUUAGGGUUCGAUUUCGGAGAGGGAGCAUGAGAAACGGCUACCACAUCUAAGGAAGGCAGCAGGCGCGUAAAUUACCCAAUCCCGACUCGGGGAGGUAGUGACAAGAAAUAGCAAACCGGGAACCUAACGGUUUCACGGUAUUGCAAUGAGAACAAUUUAAAUAACUUAGCGAGGAACAAGUGGAGGACAAGUCUGGUGCCAGCACCCGCGGUAAUUCCAGCUCCACUAGCGUAUAUUAAAGUUGUUGCAGUUAAAAGCUCGUAGUUGAACUUCUGUGUGGGGCUAGUUCGGACUUCUGUCUGGCUAGUUCCAUACAUCCGCUUGCAAGACCUAGAGGGCAUUCAUUUGUCGCUAGGAGGAGCAGGCUGUUUACUUUGAAAAAAUUAGAGUGUUUAAGGCAGGCAAUCGCCCGCAUAUAUUAGCAUGGAAUAAUAGAAUAGGACACUUUUCCAUUUCGUUGGUUAUUGGAAUCGUGUAAUGAUUAAUAGGGACAGUUGUGGGCAUUUGUAUUUAAUUGUCAGAGGUGAAAUUCUUGGAUUUAUUAAAGACAAACUAACGCGAAAGCAUUUGCCAAGGAUGUUUUCAUUAAUCAAGAACGAAAGUUAGGGGAUCAAAGACGAUCAGAUACCGUCCUAGUCUUAACUAUAAACUAUUCCGACUCAAUGUUUGACUGGCCUUUUAACCAGUUGAGCGUUGUAUGAGAAAUCAAAGUCUUUAGGUUCUGGGGGGAGUAUGGUUGCAAAGCUGAAACUUAAAGGAAUUGACGGAAGAGCACAACCAGGAGUGGAUUCUGCGGCUUAAUUUGACUCAACACGGGGAAACUUACCAGGUUAAAACAAUAGUGGGAUUGACAGCUUGAGAGCGCUUUCUUGAUUGGUUGGGUGGUGGUGCAUGGCCGUUCUUAGUUGGUGGAGUGAUUUGUCUGCUUAAUUGCGUUAACGAACGAGACCUUAACCUGCUUACUAGACUGGCGAUAUGCAAUCGUCGGCUCUUCUUAGAGGGACUUUGGUUGUUUUAACUCCAAGGAAGUUUGAGGCAAUAACAGGUCUGUGAUGCCCUUAGAUAUCCUGGGCCGCACGCGUCAUACAAUGACUAGUUCAGAAAGUUUCAUCCUGA
rnacentral:rRNA from 1 species